UGGACAGGCCCAGUGAGCCUCCGGCUGCCCUCCUCUUGGACUGAGUUCUUCCACUCAAACACUGCCGUCCUGUGUCAAGACAAACCUGUGUGGACACUCAGAGGACCCUGGGAGGGGCAGUCUUCCUGCUCUUCCUCAAAAGGAGCAAAACAGAACCUUCGGAGAUCACCUUUUAACUGCCACCUGAAUGUUGCCUCCUUCUCACCAAGAUCCAUCUCAAAGCCUGCUUCCUGGGGAACCGAACGUGCAGAAGGAAAACAGGGGAACAUCCAGCUGCGGCACAACUCAUGCCGAUCAGAAGUCAAUCUAGGGCCCAUGGAGGGUCAGGGAUCCUGACGGUCUUCAUGGCAAUGCCAGGAAAAGCCUGAAGCCAGGCCCACAAGGAUCAGCGCACAGAUGGAGGGCUUUCCACAUUUCCAAGCUUCUUCCAGUUAAUAGCUGGGGGACUGCAGACUCAAACCUCAAGCCAGCUUGCCCCCGGAGCCUCUCCCUUGUCAGAUUUCUUUUCAAAUGUCUCUCAAGAAACUAGUGCACAGGAACAAAUGAAUGGGACUUAAUUGUCAAUGGAUUCUUGAUGCUAGGAGGAAAGGAGGGUACUGUAGAGCCUUGCAGACCACUGGUUCCAGCCUGUGACUGUCAGAUGAGGAAACCAAGGCCUCGAAAGGGGUGGAGGCAAGUCCAAGGUCUAAAUGGUGGUGGAGUUGGGACAGAACUCCAGAUCUCCGAGCUCCAUCCUGAAUUUCUAAUUUACCCAAUUCCACUGUGAGGGAGGCAGACAGAGGAGAGUGGAGAAAAGGGAGAGGGGUAGAGCCGAGACUUUCACUCCAAAUCCCAGUGGCCUGGGCCAAAGGCCUCCUCAAUACUAAUAACAAUGGCAACUUUUACUGAGCACCCACUAAGUGGCAGGAGUCCUAUUAAGCACUGUGGCUCAUUUAAGCCAUUAUCUCAUUGAAGUCUCACAACAACCCAAUAAAGGUGGGUAUUAUUAUUAUUAUACCUACCUUAUAGGACAGGAAUCAGACUCAGAGAGGUGAAGUCAUUUUCUCAGAGAUAUCUGGCUUAAGGGCGGCUGAGUCUGGCCUGAACACCAGCUCAAUUUCACUUUAGCGUUCCCUCUCUUCCUUGGUGUAAUUUAUAGUCCCCUGGUCUCUUCCCAGAUCCUUGGAGACUUUAGUUUCUUUCCUUGGUUUUUUACUCCUCCUCUCCCUUUCAAACUACAAGAGGGAAGUUAUCCAUCCUGUAAGUGCAUGCUUAGGACCACGGCAGCCUGGAAGUAUGGGAAGCAUUCGAGAUCGGAGGUUCCUGAGUUCAAACCCUAACUCUGUCACUCGCUAGCUCUGUCCCCCGUCGGAGCCUCUAGCUCCACGUUGGUGAAAUGAUAAAUAGAAAACCCAUGAUUAUAAACCCUUCUAUCUUGCCAGAGCAAAACGCUUGGCCCUUUAUUAGAGGUCCUGUAGGUCCUUCUGUUCCAAUAAGUCCUCACCCAUGGAGUUAGGAGCAAGGACGAUCUCAGGGCAAAUAAUGACUGGAACAGGAGGCACAGUGAAGAAGGAGGCAAACAGCUGAUAUUCAACAUAUUCAACCUACCAGUGGCCAGUGGCCUUGGUACUCAGUCUCUCUCUCUGCGCAAUGGGAAUGAAGGCAGCAGAAUACUUCUCCUAGGGCUGUUGUGAGCCUUGAAUGAAAAUAACGCCUGCGACGUGCCGAGCCCAGUGCCUCGUACGUCACAAAUGAUCAACAAAUGGUACUAUUAUUAUUGUCAUCUCGGGGCCAGUGGCUUACAAGUCCUGAGAGUCACUCUUGGACCAUGCCAAGAAGCAAAAACACCAGCUAUAAGCCAGACUAGUGGUUCUCAAACAUCAGUGGGCACAAGAGUCACUUGCAGGCAGAGCCAGGUUCAUGGGUGCACGUCCUGUGCAGUCACACAGGACCCCAUGCUUAGAAGACUCUAGGUGUGGUUCAAUGCUGCGCUGUCACCGUCUCGAAAUUCUAGAUAAUUUCUGAAGAAGGGCCCUGUGUUUUCAUUUGGCACUGGGCCCCAUGAAUUUCACAGGCCAGCCUUGUCUGGAAAACUUAUUAAAACACAGAUAACUGGGGCCACCUCAA